GGACUUUAGUCGAAAAAGCGAGACUGAGCGAUCCUACAUUCCUACGACGACAGAAUGUAGGAUCGCUCAGUCUCGCUUUUUCGAUAUUCACU
rnacentral:sRNA from 1 species